UCCCUCUCAGGGUUGCACCUGGAGAGUUUCCAGUACUCUACCAAUCUCAGCUACUGGAGGGAGAGUCAAGCAGAGGCCUACCCAUUCCGUUCCUAGCUCGGGCAGUGGCUAGCCAGUGGCAGGCCAUCUGCUACAAGU
rnacentral:snoRNA from 1 species